UACGUAGGGACCGAGCGUUGUCCGGAUUCAUUGGGCGUAAAGAGCUCGUAGGCGGCUGUUCAAGUCGAACGUGAAAACUCGGAGCUCAACUCCGAGCCUGCGUUCGAUACUGGACGGCUAGAGUCUGGUAGGGGGAUCUGGAAUUCCUGGUGUAGCGGUGGAAUGCGCAGAUAUCAGGAGGAACACCGGUGGCGAAGGCGGCUUUCUGGACAGAUACCGACGCUGAGGCACGAAAGCUAGGGGAGCAAACAGG
rnacentral:rRNA from 1 species